rnacentral:rRNA from 1 species
UAGGGAAUCUUCCACAAUGGGCGAAAGCCUGAUGGAGCAACGCCGCGUGUGUGAUGAAGGGUUUCGGCUCGUAAAACACUGUUGUAAGAGAAGAAUGACAUUGAGAGUAACUGUUCAAUGUGUGACGGUAUCUUACCAGAAAGGAACGGCUAAUACGUGCCAG